GACGAACGCUGGCGGCGUGCUUAACACAUGCAAGUCGAGCGGUAAGGCCCUUUCGGGGGUACACGAGCGGCGAACGGGUGAGUAACACGUGGGUGACCUGCCCUUAGCUCUGGGAUAAGCCUGGGAAACUGGGUCUAAUACCGGAUAUGACUCCAUGACGCAUGUUGUGGGGUGGAAAGCCUUGUGCGGCUAGGGAUGGGCCUGCGGCCUAUCAGCUUGUUGGUGGGGUGAUGGCCUACCAAGGCGACGACGGGUAGCCGGCCUGAGAGGGCGACCGGCCACACUGGGACUGAGACACGGCCCAGACUCCUACGGGAGGCAGCAGUGGGGAAUCUUGCGCAAUGGGCGAAAGCCUGACGCAGCGACGCCGC
rnacentral:rRNA from 1 species